AAAAACAGCACUGAAAGCAAGAUGGAUCCAUCACGUUUUGCAUCUUACAGAUUUUGAUUCGUACAUCCUGCCGAAGUUUAUUAAACGUCAAUCUGUUCCUGUGCCUCUUCCUGUGUCUGUGCAUCAAGCUGUAUACAUGAACAAGAAGAGAAGCAUUAAGCAUCUGGAUCUGAAGUGCACACUAUACAUGUACAGCAUUGCGUGUCUACAGGAGAUAUGGAGAUGAAACUUACAUCACUGGAUUUUGUCCUUGCAGAUGACACCUAACUGCCAGAUGUGGACAAUUUUCAGAUACCGUGAGGUCAAUCAAUAGCAUUCCUUGAAGCUGGUAUAUUUCCGCCACUCACCGUUACAUAUGAAUCUAUUUGGCUUACCGAUGUAAUGAGGGAGGUGUGUGCACCUU